UGUAAUGUAGCUCUGUGGAAGAGUGCAUACUUUGUAUGUAUGAUGUGCUGUGUUCAAUCCCCAGCUUCUUAC